UCGGCCAACUCACACUUCCCUCUCCACGUCCUGCCCCUGCAUCCAUGCUUGUCAGGGUUAUAUUGGGUAAAUAAAUUAGCACAGUGCCCCACUCUGCUAAUGAGGACACGGUCACAUGACAGGCCUUUUCCUACGCUUAAGUUAAGCAGUUUUAGGGAUCGAUACCAUUAUCUCCUCAGCACAAGAGUCAAUGGAACCUGUUGUGAGACCUGCUGGACUGAAGCACAAGUCA